rnacentral:lncRNA from 1 species
AAAAAAUAAAGAACAAGAAAAACAAAAACAAAAACAAAAACCAAACCAACGGUGGGUUGCCUCCCACCAAGCGCUAGUUUUAGAGUCGCCAGCCCGACGUAGAGGAUCCUUUAACCAAAAUCGCUAUGAAACGUCAGCUGAAUUAGUCCUCGUGAAAGCACAUCAUCCUCCAGUUCAGCUGCGGGUCCUCUUAAUGAGCAAGCAGAGCUCAUUGCGUUCAUCAUUCUCUCGAACCAAGAGCUAUGUCGAGAUCUC